UAAAUGUCAAUGUCAUUGCUAUUUUAAGUAGUGGUGGCGUGAAUGAACAGUGCUACACCAUCAUGUGAAAUACUGAUGGCGUGGCGGCACGAACGCCAUCCAUAUUUUAUUAACAAUGGUGUUAUAUUGAUGAUAUCGGUUGUCUAUGCCAGCAAGACCCUUUUUAAAACGCCGGCACUAGGCUUUUCUACACUAGUGUUAAUUAUUUUAGUUAUUGAGAACCUAAUCUUGCCUCGACGUCAUUCCAUUGCUCUUUACAGAUUGUGUGGGUUCUUGCAAUAGUGCAAAGUCUUAGGCAAGCAACCCGACGCCUUCUCUAUGGGUCUUCGCUCCCUGACACAAUGGAUAACGCCUUGGACUCCGCCCUAGCUGGACAAAGAUCUUCUUCUCUAGUCUCCACCUUCAAAUACAACUCGCACAGAUGGGAUGGCUAGCAAACAAAUACAUUGUCAGCAAGAUGGACCAUAUAUAUCCGACCAUGACCAACACAUACAACUUAUUUGCUCAACGAGUUUCUUACCACUUGGGCCACCAACCGAUUAGUUUUUUGUAGUAGCUCCAAUACUUGCUCAUAGACUCUUAGAUGGUGCACCAUUGAUGGUUGAGAACCUUUGUCCCGCUAUUUUGGAUUACUUCAUUGUGGUAGGGCUCAAAAUUCUUGUGAUCAUGAAACAGGGAAUCAGACUGAAUAGGAAACCUACACGGACACGAAUACGUACAUGUAUCUUGGAAACGUAUUCAAAUUCUAGUGAUGGAAGUUGACAGUUCCAGCGAGCCAACGUGUGAUUCCUGGCAACAAGACCCAUGCGCUUGUCAGCUUGACAAUUGAUUGAGCCCAAAUGUAGCAGGCCCCGUUUAAUUAAUCUACCAGGAGUCACGCAUUUGUUCAUGCAUUCGUGAUGAUAAAAGAAAGGGAAACAAUGUGUAGCACAAACGAAAAUUGCAUGCAGGGUGGAGUAAUGUAUUCGUGCCUACAUGCAUGCAUGGCCACUAGAUGAUCUUGGCGUGUAUAUAUACAUCCCAUUGCAAAGUGUCUUCCUUCCUCAUGUACCAAGU
rnacentral:lncRNA from 1 species